GAUGAACGCUAGCGGCAGGCCUAACACAUGCAAGUCGAGGGGUAGAAUUAGCUUGCUAAUUUGAGACCGGCGCACGGGUGCGUAACGCGUAUGCAAUCUACCUUGUACAGGGGGAUAGCCCAGAGAAAUUUGGAUUAAUACUCCAUGGUAUAAUUGAAUCGCAUGGUUUGAUUAUUAAAGUUCCAACGGUACAAGAUGAGCAUGCGUCCCAUUAGCUAGUUGGUGUGGUAACGGCAUACCAAGGCGACGAUGGGUAGGGGUCCUGAGAGGGAGAUCCCCCACACUGGUACUGAGACACGGACCAGACUCCUACGGGAGGCAGCAGUGAGGAAUAUUGGUCAAUGGUCGGAAGACUGAACCAGCCAUGCCGCGUGCAGGAAGACGGUCCUAUGGAUUGUAAACUGCUUUUGUACGGGAAGAAACACUCCUUCGUGAAGGAGCUUGACGGUACCGUAAGAAUAAGGAUCGGCUAACUCCGUGCCAGCAGCCGCGGU
rnacentral:rRNA from 1 species